GUGGGGAAUAUUGCACAAUGGGCGCAAGCCUGAUGCAGCAACGCCGCGUGAGGGAUGACGGCCUUCGGGUUGUAAACCUCUUUUAGUAGGGAAGAAGCGAAAGUGACGGUACCUGCAGAAAAAGCACCGGCUAACUACGUGCCAGCAGCCGCGGUAAUACGUAGGGUGCAAGCGUUGUCCGGAAUUAUUGGGCGUAAAGAGCUCGUAGGCGGCUUGUCGCGUCUGCUGUGAAAACCCGAGGCUCAACCUCGGGCCUGCAGUGGGUACGGGCAGGCUAGAGUGCGGUAGGGGAGAGUGGAAUUCCUGGUGUAGCGGUGGAAUGCGCAGAUAUCAGGAGGAACACCGAUGGCGAAGGCAGAUCUCUGGGCCGUAACUGACGCUGAGGAGCGAAAGCAUGGGGAGCGAACAGGAUUAGAAACCCGAGUAGUCC
rnacentral:rRNA from 1 species